UUUAUCAUCUCACAGAGUCCCAUGAAGGAUUGGUCGUCAGCGUCCAAUGCGUAACGUAUGUGAAGUGCUGUGAAGCACUGUGUACAUCUCGCCAUUCAGCACGUGCUUGCUCCAAGAAAAGGAGGGACUUUCAGUACAAAUAAGGGACCAGCAUCACUUUUCUUUGAGAAGCUCUUGGAAGCUUCUUUAGAAGACUGUGGCAGAAGAUACGUACAGGCA